rnacentral:rRNA from 1 species
CACAUCCGUUGAAAAGGGUGGUGAUGAGGUGUGGGUAGCGGAGAAAUUCCAAUCGAACCCGGAGAUAGCUGGUUCUCCUCGAAAUAGUUUUAGGACUAGCCUGUUAUUAGUCUGCCGGAGGUAGAGCACUGAAUUCUUAAGGGGGCGUCAAAGCUUACCAAGAGAUAUCAAACUCCGAAUGCCGGCCAGAUGAUGUAACGGAGUCAGACUGCACGAGAUAAGUUGGGUAGUCAAAAGGGAAAGAGCCCAGACCACCGGCUAAGGUCCCAAAGUGCGUGUUAAGUGGAAAAGGAUGUGGGAAUUCGAAGACAACUAGGAUGUUGGCUCAGAAGCAGCCAUUCAUUCAAAGAGUGCGUAACAGCUCACUAGUCGAGAGUUCCUGCGCCGAAAAUGUCCGGGGCUGAAACACGACACCGAAGCCGUGGAAUCACGUAAGUGAUUGGUAGAGGAGCAUUCGCUGCACGACGAAGCUGUACCGUAAGGAGCAGUGGAGAGCAGUGAAGAGAGAAUGCCGGAAUGAGUAGCGAGAGAUAGGUGAGAAUCCUAUCGGCCGAAUAUCUAAGGUUUCCAGAGUAAAGCUGAUCUGCUCUGGGUAAGUCGGGACCUAAGGCGAGGUCGAAAGACGUAGUCGAUGGACAACUGGUUGAGAUUCCAGUACUUCAAUAUAUCAGAACUGUGGGGACACAGCCACAAAGCAUUAGCCGGGAAUGGAAAGACCGGUGCAAGCACAGGAGGCGUACGGCAGGCAAAUCCGCCGUAUAAGCCGGAGGUGUGAAGCGGAGCGAACAUAAGGGUAGCGAAGAAUGCAGAGUGGCUGUCGGGAAAAGCCGCUAUCGUGUAUAUUGAACCCGUACCGUAAACCGACACAGGUGGAUGAGGAGAGAAUCCUAAGGCCGACGGAAGAAGCAUUGUUAAGGAAUUCGGCAAAAUAGCCCCGUAACUUCGGGAGAAGGGGUGCCUGGGAAACCAGGCCGCAGAGAAUUGGCCCAAGCAACUGUUUAGCAAAAACACAGGUUUAUGCGAAACCGAAAGGUGAAGUAUAUGAGCUGACGCCUGCCCGGUGCUGGAAGGUUAAGGGGAGAGCUUAGGAGCAAUCCGAAGGUUCGAACUUAAGCCCCAGUAAACGGCGGCCGUAACUAUAACGGUCCUAAGGUAGCGAAAUUCCUUGUCGGGUAAGUUCCGACCCGCACGAAAGGCGUAAUGAUUUGGGCACUGUCUCGACAAUGCAUCCGGUGAAAUUGAAAUACCAGUGAAGAUGCUGGUUACCCGCGCCAGGACGGAAAGACCCCAUGGAGCUUUACUCCAGUUUGAUGCUGGGAUUCGAUACUGCAUGUACAGGAUAGGCGGGAGACUGAGAAGAUGUGACGUCAGUUGCAUCGGAGUCGCUGUUGGGAUACCGCCCUUGCAGUAUUGGGUUUCUAACCUGCGGCCGUAAGCCGGCCGGGGGACAACGUCAGGCGGGGAGUUUGACUGGGGCGGUCGCCUCCGAAAGGGUAUCGGAGGCGCUCAAAGGUUCCCUCAGAAUGGUCGGAAACCAUUCGAAGAGUGCAAAGGCAGAAG